GCUCUGAUGGCGCAAUUGGUAGACGCACUAUCUUGAGGGGGUAGACAGUGUGAGUUCGACUCUCACUCAGAGCACCA
rnacentral:tRNA from 1 species